rnacentral:rRNA from 1 species
AACGGCCAUACCAUGCUGAAUAUACCGGUUCUCGUUAGAUCACCGAAGUCAAGCAUCAUUGGGCGCGGUCAGUACUUGGGAGGGUGACCACCUGGAACACCGUGUGCCGUU